rnacentral:rRNA from 1 species
GACGAACGCUGGCGGCGUGCCUAAUACAUGCGAGUUGAGCGCUGAAGGUUGGUACUUGUACCAACUGGAUGAGCAGCGAACGGGUGAGUAACGCGUGGGGAAUCUGCCUUUGAGCGGGGGGCAACAUUUGGAAACGAAUGCUAAUACCGCAUAAAAACUUUAAACACAAGUUUUAAGUUUGAAAGAUGCAAUUGCAUCACUCAAAGAUGAUCCCGCGUUGUAUUAGCUAGUUGGUGAGGUAAAGGCUCACCAAGGCGAUGAUACAUAGCCGACCUGAGAGGGUGAUCGGCCACAUUGGGACUGAGACACGGCCCAAACUCCUACGGGAGGCAGCAGUAGGGAAUCUUCGGCAAUGGACGAAAGUCUGACCGAGCAACGCCGCGUGAGUGAAGAAGGUUUUCGGAUCGUAAAACUCUGUUGGUAGAGAAGAACGUUGGUGAGAGUGGAAAGCUCAUCAAGUGACGGUAACUACCCAGAAAGGGACGGCUAACUACGUG